rnacentral:rRNA from 1 species
UACAGAGGGAGCAAGCGUUAUUCGGAAUUAUUGGGCGUAAAGGGCGCGUAGGCGGCUUUGCAAGUGACGGGUGAAAGCCCUCGGCUUAACCGAGGAACUGCCUGUCAGACUGUAAGGCUUGAGACCGGGAGAGGUGAGUGGAAUUCCCAGUGUAGCGGUGAAAUGCGUAGAUAUUGGGAGGAACACCAGUGGCGAAGGCGGCUCACUGGACCGGAACUGACGCUGAGGCGCGAAAGCGUGGGGAGCAAACAGG